ensembl:lncRNA
CUUACACACACAAUAUUCCUGGAGCCUAUAUACAUCUGCCUGUAUGUUACAUUUUUCUGAAAUGGGGUAUUUGAGUUCACAUUUGUAAACACUCUUUCUGUAAAACUUCCCUGUCUAGAUAGUGUGUCUCUAAUCAUUUGUUUGUUAUGAUCCUGGAAGCAAUAUUACAGAUCAAAUUUCAGCUGAUAAUCAACAUGGGAAACGAAUAAUUUGUCUGUUCUGGCUUUUGUCAAUCAGUUCUCAGUACUUGGAAACGAAAUGGCGAAACUGACCCCUUUUGCUUCUUACCUUUCAAAUGCUCUUUUAUUUGGCUCAUCCAUGUGGACUGUUUUGGAUCAUUUUUCUGAAAGAUUAUCCCCAAAUAGCAUUCCACCCCCACUGACUCCUCCUUAUGAUAAACUUGCCAAGAAAACAACUUAAGCAAAUUGAAAGACCUUUUGAAAAGAAAGGAAGUUGCCACAACAUGGUAUCCAAGCCAAGAAAUAUCCCCAGCAUUCUCCUGGUAAUUUUUAGUUGAAGAUUUAUCUAAAGGAAAAGAAAAAUAAUUUAUGGAUUGAACUCCAUCGCAUGACAGUAUUUAAGUAUCACGUCUCAGCUUUGAAAACCUGCUCAGAGGAAUGGACAUCAGAGGAGACAACUAUCAAAGCAGUAGCCCACAGUCUGUUCCCUAGUCCCAUCAGUGUCCAGCUUUCACAUACCUUGAGACAAAUCAAUGACAAAAAGCCUGGCUUUAUUUUCUCAUUCAAAUGAAAACUGCAACAUCAGCCUCCUUCAUCGGAAACAGAUUCAAAGAGCAGAGUCAGCUGAGUGCUCUGUGAAUAAAGUGGUAUCAGACAGAAUCCACCAUUUUUCUACUCUUUCACUCUGCUUUUGGAUUCCUAUCGGCUACCGAGGUUAUUAAAAUCUUGAAGGGCCCAUGAAGAGAACUCACCCGCUGGCCUGGGCGCUAUCUGCAGGGGUCGCACCUGAGUCAUCCUGCACCGGCAGUGCUAGGAGAGGAAGCCCCUGUGCCCACUCAUCCUCUAAGACCAGGGGUCUCAGAUUUAGCAAACAAAAUUACAGAUAAGCAACCAAUAAAUG